rnacentral:rRNA from 1 species
GUAGGUGGCAAGCGUUGUCCGGAAUUAUUGGGCGUAAAGCGCGCGCAGGCGGUUCUUUAAGUCUGAUGUGAAAGCCCACGGCUCAACCGUGGAGGGUCAUUGGAAACUGGAGAACUUGAGUACAGAAGAGGAAAGCGGAAUUCCACGUGUAGCGGUGAAAUGCGUAGAGAUGUGGAGGAACACCAGUGGCGAAGGCGGCUUUCAGGUCUGUAACUGACGCUGAGGCGCGAAAGCGUGGGGGAGCAAACAGGAUUAGAUACCCUGGUAGUCCACGCCGUAAACGAUGAGUGCUAAGUGUUAGGGGGUUUCCGCCCCUUAGUGCUGCGGCUAACGCAUUAAGCACUCCGCCUGGGAGUACGGCCGCAAGGCUG